AGCCUUGAGCUCUUAUUCAAGGUAAAGCCUGCCCAGUGCAGUAUUUGUUAACGGCCGCAGUACCCUGACUGUGCUAAGGUAGCAUAAUCAGUUGGCUUUUAAAUGGAGUCGGGAAUGAAUGGAUUUAUAGGGUUAAGCUGUCUCUUUUAUACUUAAUUAAAUUUACUUAUUAGGUGAAAAUUCCUAAUAAAAGAAAAAAGACGAGAAGACCCUAGGAGUUUUAACUAAAAUGAUUAAAGGUUACGUUUUUGUUGGGGCGACAUGAGAGUAUACAAUUAAACCUCUUAUUUAAAAUAAGCCGACUUAGUAUGAAAAUUU
rnacentral:rRNA from 1 species